rnacentral:lncRNA from 1 species
UAUUCCUUUUUUUUUACCUUUUCUAUUAUUUAGAGCAACUUUCAUUUGACUCCCCACUUCCCCUUUCAUGGCAUUCUUAAUCGGAGAGUUAGGUCAACAAUCACUCCUCAAUUCAAUAGUAAAACUGAAUCCAGCAGUCGAUAUCUUCGGAUUAGUGUUCCUAUUUUUCAUCGAUUUUGGUUACAGAUAGAUUUCAGAUUUCAAAUUCAAAUCCACAUUGUUUAGCUUUUUAUCCCGCUAAUGGAGCUAUAUAUAUGUGAUCGGUGUUACUAUCUAAUUCUCCACUGCAUACGGCUUCCCUCAAUUGCGAGUAUUAGCUUAAAUUUCAGGGUUAAAAGAGCUUAAAUGUGCAAAAGGAGCAAAAAGACAACAAAAACCAACACAAAUGUAAAGAAGGAGGAAUUGACGCAACUCGCUAAGCCUCGAUUCACAUUCAAACCAUAAAAUAGCAAGAACAGAAGACUUGACAUGGGGCCGUGUCCGAAGGUGGAUGCUGUGCAGAAGAAAAGACAACUGCAAAAGACAAAACUGGCAGCUCACACGGGGACGUGCUAAGCCAACACGGGGCGUGGUCAACUCAAAGAUUUUUAGAAUCUGCGAUAGUACAGUAAGUACUUUGGCCAUGGGCUGUGCCGUUGACACACUAGGCGGUGUUAGUACAAGAACUGACAAGCAAUUAAUGAGGAAGAGAGAGAAAUGACCAUGGGACAGAUCCUUACCAACUUAAACCCAAGUAAGUAAAUGAUGGAGGCAUUAGGACUAACCCUUUUUCUUUUCGACACCAUUAUUUUUCAUUUUACCACCUACCCAAAAUCCCCCUAGUUAACCCCUUUGAGCCUAAACCUUUUCGUUUCUAAACCCACAAAACAAACACCCUUUACCCACCAAAACCUUUUUGUUAACCCUUUAUUUUAGUAAAAAUCUCGGUUUUCAUGUGACAUUCCUUUUCAAAAAAAAUGAAGUAUAGCAAUAAACAAACAUGUUCCUCAAAAGAAGCUUUGUUUGAAAAUGCUUUAUUUGAAUAAAAGUCAUAAAAACAAAAAGUUUUACGACGACCGACGCUUUUUACGCUUUUCGCCCUGUUUACUAACCACUAACCCAAAACCACCUACCUUUAACCCAAGCUUAACCCUUCCCCAAGUCCUCUUGAUAUUUACAAAGGUGUAUAGUUAAAAAGGAGGAGGAUUGAUUGCUUGGCAAGCAUAUGGUAGAAGUAAGUUUCAUGCCGGUCUCGAGUGUUUCACAAAAAUACAUCUUCGGCCGAGUGUUGAGUGAUCUCCCGUGAGGAUUAAAUGAGCGUAAAUGAACAAAAGGAACAAAUAUGCAGCAAAAUCUAACAUA